AUUGAACGCUGGCGGCAGGCUUAACACAUGCAAGUCGAGCGAGCGGCGGACGGGUGAGUAAUGUCUGGGAAACUGCCUGAUGGAGGGGGAUAACUACUGGAAACGGUAGCUAAUACCGCAUACCAUCAGAUGUGCCCAGAUGGGAUUAUCUAGUAGGUGGGGUAAUGGCUCACCUAGGCGACGAUCCCUCGCUGGUCUGAGAGGAUGACAAGCCACACUGGAACUGAGACACGGUGCAGACUCCUACGGGAGGCAGCAGUGGGGAAUAUUGCACAAUGGGCGCAAGCAUGAUGCAGCCAUGCCGCGUGUGUGAAGAAGGCCUUCGGGUUGUAAAGUACUUUCAGCGAGGAGGCGGGAGUCGGAGAAGAAGCACCGGCUAACUCCGUGCCAGCAGCCGCGGUAAUUG
rnacentral:rRNA from 1 species